CUUGCAGCCACAUCAUCAUUGAAACACCGGUUCCUGUACGAUCGUCGAGGUUAAGCAACGUCGAGCCUGGUGAGUAAAUAGGUGACCGCUUGGGAAAACUAGCUGUUGUA
rnacentral:rRNA from 1 species